rnacentral:rRNA from 1 species
AGGGAGUGGCGGACGGGUGAGUAACACAUGGGAACCUACCUUCCAGUGAGGAAUACCGGCGAGAAAUCGCCGACAAGACCGCAUGGGCUUCUCCUUUGGGGGAAGCAAAGUUUCUUCGCGAGAGGAGACGCUGGAAGAUGGGCCUGUGCCGAUUAGCUAGCUGGUGGGGUAAGAGCCUACCAGGGCGACGAUCGGUAGCUGGUCUGAGAGGACGAGCAGCCACACUGGGAUUGAGAACGGCCCAGACUCCUACGGGGGGCAGCAGUGAGGAAUUUUCCGCAAUGGGCGCAAGCCUGACGGAGCAACGCCGCGUGCAGGAAGACGGCCUUCGGGUUGUAAACUGCUUUUCUGAGGGACGAGCAAGGACGGUACCUCAGGAACAAGCCCCGGCUAACUACGUGCCAGCAGCCGCGGUAAUACGUAGGGGGCGAGCGUUGUCCGGAGUUACUGGGCGUAAGGGCAUGCAGGCGGUGCGCUGCGUUUGCCAUGACAGCUCCUCGCUUCACGAGGAGAGAGUGGCAAAAACGAGCGCACUUGAGGGACACAGAGGGACACAGAAUUCCGGGUGGAGUGGUGAAAUGCGUAGAGAUCCGGAGGAAUACCAAAGGCGAAGGCAGUGUCCUGGGUGUUACCUGACGCUGAGGUGCGAAAGCCAGGGGAGCGAACGGGAUUAGAUACCCCGGUAGUCCUGGCCGUAAACGAUGACCACCAGGUGUGGGAGGUAUCGACCCCUUCCGUGCCGUCGUUCGCGCACUAAGUGGUCCGCCUGGGGAGUACGGUCGCAAGAUUAAAACUCAAAGGAAUUGACGGGGACCCGCACAAGCAGCGGAGCGUGUGGUUUAAUUCGAAGCAACGCGAAGAAC